rnacentral:lncRNA from 1 species
CAUGGGCACCAUCACGGACACCAUCAUGGACACGAACAUGGACACGAACAGGGACACGAACAUGGGCACCCUUCGCACCAUGGAUCGGUCUGCAGUUUUCCGGAGGAAGCCUUGGCUACAGUGGUGGAAUGUGUCGAACGCAACAUCACAGAUGAGGUCCGAGGGAAGCUGACCGCAGUAAGCCAGAGGCUUGAGUGCGAAACCAUCCUGUGUGGCAUUAAGAAAUUUUGCCAGGCGCACGGCACUCUGGAGGGCAACCGGACUGACGUUUUCACGCAUGAAGAGAACGUCGAGCUCCGGAACGCAUUCAUCGGCUGUAAGCCUCAGCCGUUGGCCACUACUGAAAGUGUGGUUGAACAUGUCAGCGAAGCUGCAGCUGAAGCCUAGUUUUGUAAAUAAAUAUGAAUCAACAAGUCACCACUGAAGAAUGAAAUAAAUGUACAAAUGCCUAUCCCUUCCCCUCGAA